UUAAAAUCCAAUCCAAUACCAGUGAUAAGAUAACCGUACUGUACUGGCCGGUUCGUCGGUUUUGACCAGAAAACCGGCGAACUGGACCCCUAACCGGUACGGCAUGAGUAUUAUACCGGUCAAGUAACAAAACUGGUACGGCAUAGGUGUUAUAUCGGUCAAGUAACAAAACCGGUGAAAACCGGCCGGUUUUGACCAAAACCGGUGAAAACCGGCCGAUUUUGACCAAAACCGGUGAAAACCGGCGCUGGUGUUGGAAGACAGAUGUCCUUACCUCAGAAAAACUAGUCGGGAGAGCAAUUGCAACAUCCACGUAACAAGCCAAUGGACUCUGUAUAGCAUAAUAUGCUCUUAAAAUGUGUGGAGCACCAAAGAAUCAUCUCUUUUUAAAUUUCUGUAUGAAAAGAAUUCUGAGAGAAUAAAGGCAUUGCUUGGAUAAUCACAAAACAAGUCAAAGCUUCAACACUUUACAGUUUACACGGCUUUAAGUCUUCAACCCCUCUUUUGGUAUUAGGUUGCGUGUAUCUCCAAUAUAAACCCCAAUCUACGGUAAUGCUUUGUUUCAUUCUUUUGUCACUUUUUGUUUGUUUUACUUUCACCAAUUUUGGAUAAAAGAAGUUUAGUAUUUCUAUAUAGGGGAGGGAUCCACUUACUCCAAAAAACACUUACUCUUCAUCUUAGCCAUCCAAUCUUGAAAAAUUCAAUGGCUUAGAUGUACUCACCAAUUCAAACCAUUGGAUUUCCCAAGAAUGAAUGGUCAUGAUGUGGAGAUUGUACUGUUUAGGAACAUUGAUAUGAGAUAAGCUUAACUCCUUAGUGUCAGAUGUUAGAAAUCUAAAUUUAUAUUUUGUAAAUUAAGUUGUGAACCUUUGUCAUUUAUUUAU